rnacentral:rRNA from 1 species
ACCCAGACUCCUACGGGAGGCAGCAGUGGGGAAUAUUGCACAAUGGGGGAAACCCUGAUGCAGCGACGCCGCGUGAGCGAUGAAGUAUUUCGGUAUGUAAAGCUCUAUCAGCAGGGAAGAAAGUGACGGUACCUGACUAAGAAGCCCCGGCUAACUACGUGCCAGCAGCCGCGGUAAUACGUAGGGGGCAAGCGUUAUCCGGAUUUACUGGGUGUAAAGGGAGCGUAGACGGCUGCGCAAGUCAGAAGUGAAAGCCCGGGGCUCAACCGCGGGACUGCUUUUGAAACUGUGUAGCUAGAGUGCAGGAGAGGUAAGUGGAAUUCCUAGUGUAGCGGUGAAGUGCGUAGAUAUUAGGAGGAACACCGGUGGCGAAGGCGGCUUACUGGACUGUAACUGACGUUGAGGCUCGAAAGCGUGGGGAGCAAACAGGAUUAGAUACCCUAGUA